rnacentral:rRNA from 1 species
AGUGAACGCUGGCGGUAGGCCUAACACAUGCCAGUCGAACGGCAGCACAGUAAGAGCUUGCUCUUACGGGUGUCGAGUGGCGGACGGGUGAGGAAUACAUCGGAAUCUACUUUUUCGUGGGGGAUAACGUAGGGAAACUUCCGCUAAUACCGCAUACGACCUACGUGUGAAAGCAGGGGAUCUUCGGACCUUGCGCGAUUGAAUGAGCCGAUGUCGGAUUAGCUAGUUGGCGGGGUAAAGGCCCACCAAGGCGACGAUCCGUAGCUGGUCUGAGAGGAUGAUCAGCCACACUGGAACUGAGACACGGUCCAGACUCCUACGGGAGGCAGCAGUGGGGAAUAUUGGACAAUGGGCGCAAGCCUGAUCCAGCCAUACCGCGUGGGUGAAGAAGGCCUUCGGGUUGUAAAGCCCUUUUGUUGGGAAAGAAAAGCAGCAGGUUAAUACCCCGCUGUUCUGACGGUACCCAAAGAAUAAGCACCGGCUAACUUCGUG